rnacentral:lncRNA from 1 species
UAAAGGAGAAUUGCUCGAGAGACACGGAUUCCGUGUCGGACACUGGCGCAGCUGACUGCGUUUCGGCAAACGUGCGAGCUUCUGGGAGCAGCAAGCGAGUUGCAUCAUAGCGUUCCAACGAGGGCGUGAAGAUCUUCGCUGUGAUCGUUCGUACUCUGUGCGUCGGCCACGCAGUCUUCGGCGCUCUUCACAAGCUAUGGGGAAAGUCUCCGUGCCAUGGGAUCGAGAGGAUCGAUGAGAAAUUCGUGGACGCCUCUCAGCUGUGUUGUCGCCUGAUGUGUUCUGCACGUCUCCUCUGUGACCGGCAAUCUUUUGCCUGGAGAAGAGGCAGAGCGACGGCUGGAGGUUGAUUGCAGUUGCCGCUUACAUGCGGGCUCUUCCAAGGAUUGAGUUCAUGCGACUGGCGGGACGCUCUCCUUACGGAUGGCGUUCCGCUUACAGAAUGGAGCUUACGCCUUUGCUGUUCCCAACCACCCCGAAGCAAGCGCGUGAACCGAAAUGGAUUCUGGCGAAAUAGAAGUGUAUUUGAGAAGAGCGUCACUUUUGGGUGAGUGUCAGAGCUCGGAAAUCUCUGCGCCCCUACGGUGUUUCCCGG